CGCGUAGGCGGUCUUGCAAGUCCUGUGUGAAAUCCCCCGGCUCAACUGGGGAACUGCACAGGAAACUGCUUGGCUUGAGUUCGGGAGAGGGAAGCGGAAUUCCGGGUGUAGCGGUGAAAUGCGUAGAUAUCCGGAGGAACACCGGUGGCGAAGGCGGCUUCCUGGACCGACACUGACGCUGAGGCGCGAAAGCCAGGGGAGCAAACG
rnacentral:rRNA from 1 species